UGAGACUGGGGGAGCUGCCAGGCUGGUCCCACUCGGGAGAGUUAGUGGUGAUAUUAACUGGAGGAAAUUCUACAGAGAAUCAAGGCUGAAUUGAAAAAUUCAUCAGGACUGUUCUCUCCUCCUCUGGUAGCAUCCACUUGUCUGCUAAGAGAGCUUUGACUCUAUUACCUCAUGGCUCACACACUGAGAUGAUUUCAACAGCUGUAAGCCACAAAUAUUAAUCUUUUUCUGACCUAUGCACCUGGUAGAUGAUGAUAUGCUUCCAGAUUCCAGGAGCAGGCAAACUGGUCCUUCCAACUUGGCAGAGGAACACCAGGGGCAUUGUGACAAACUGUGUACAGGAUUGUUCUCCCAUGGAGCUAAUGAAGAACACCUGGAGAAAAUGAAGCCUGUCCAACCUGCAAAGAACAGUGAACCGAAGAAGGGGAACUGCCUCUCCUCCAGAGCUGUGGAAUGCUCCCAGUUCACAGUGGUGUCUUUUACAGCCCCUUUGGAUUUUGCUGCAUCACAUGAAUGGUGCUUACACAGAUGGUAAAAAUAUGGUUUUUUUGAAGGCAUAGUAAAUGUCUGUGAGUAGACAUGAUAUCAGGCUGUCAUCGGCACAAGUGUAUCUAUGCAUUGUUUUCCUGUUUUUCUGGGCUUCUGGACAAGUGCCACUAAAACCACCAAUUUUCCUGUCUUUUUUCCUUUGCUUUUACAAGAUUUUCAAUACAAACCCCUUCCUCCUCAGUGGAAACAGAAUGCACUGCUGGGCAUAGAAUUAAAAAACACGUGGUUUUGGAUCCAUCUGGGUGAAACAGGGAAAAUUUUUCUGUUGGAUAUCAAUCCAACCAGUGCCAACUGAGCUCCCUGCCUCCCCACUCCUCGCUCCUCCUUGGGGCCAUGGCUGUGGCCCUCGACCCUGGGGAAGUGCAGCAGCACCCAGGAUCUACAGAGCACGGAGAGACUGAGCCACUGCUGGCUGUGUGACCCUGUGUGCCCACAUGGCACUGAUGCGCAAUUUUCCAUGUGUGAGUUGUACCCAGAUCGUGGAGGUCAUGCCUGUGAAUUCUACUGCCAUGCCUGUGAAUUCUGGAGCACCCUGGGGCUGGCACUGCUCCCCAGCAGGCAGCAGAGCAGCAGAGGUGUGAGGCAGCAGGAAAGGAUGAGGUGCCUGGGCUGACAUGGCUAUCCACUGGGAUGCAGGUGCAUUGGCAGAGCUGUUGGGAACCCCAUGUGUUGCCUGGCUGCUUCUGUCUAGUGCUGUAAUGCCCUGCUAAAAGCACUAAAUUUGUUUGCAAAUCUGCAAGGAAACAAAAGAUGUUCUUUUAAAGUAAAAAUGCCAUUCACAAGUUCUGUACUACUUAUUCUGCUUGAACCUACUUUAAAAUAAGUGACCUUUAAGUAUUUUGUUCACUCGCUCUGAUGUUAGAUACAGUUCUCUCCAAUAAAUCUCAUUUUAGCUGUUGCUUUAAAUUAAGC
rnacentral:lncRNA from 1 species